GAAAGGUUCAUUGGAGUCCAUCAAACUAAAAGCAAGUAAAUUCCCUGAUGGAUGGGAGGACCAGUUAUGAUCGACAUUUGCCCUCUUUUCUUCGAUUCAUCAGCUUUUGCAGAUACGUUUCCAACAACCCUCCAGCGUCCAUUUCUUCUCACUGUGUGUGUCUCUCUCUGUGCUUCUUGGUAACUUCAAAUCAGUACAAUGUCCGAACCGUUUAGCUCCAUGGGCUGCAACCUCACAUUACUAAUUCUCUCCCACGUCCCUAUCCCCUCCCUCCUCCGCGCCUUCGCCUUUGGCAAGCUCUGGCAUUCCCUCAUCUCCACCCUACUUUCCAUUCCCUCCCCCACCACCAACUGCCUUGGUUCUUCCUCCACGGUCUCCACAACACCUCCUCCAAGAACAACCAGUACUUCGCUUUUGACCCUUCCUCCAACUCCUGGUUUCGUCUCCCUUCUUUUCCCUUCCCUUCCCAUGACUUCGUUGGCUCCAAUGGAUUCCUCUUUUCUACUGCUCCUUCUUUCUCCUUUUCCACUGUCCUCAAACCCGGCCGGAAAUCCACCUCUCCGCUUCGCUUUUCCAGGAUCAAUCCGCUUAUUGGCGUUUUAUUUGACCCAAAAACUUCUCAAUCUCACAUUUCUAUGCUUCAAUUUAUAGUUGUUGGUGGUGUUCGAUUCAUUGGUAAUUUGGUUGAUAUCGAGGACAGAUUGGCCGUUGAAAUUUAUGACCCUUGUUGCGAUUCUUGGGAUCUCUGCUCCCCUUUACCCGCCAAUUUUCGCCCUGGUAAUUCAUCUCAGACUUUAUCGUCUGCCAUGUUCAAAGGUAGAUUCUUUGUGUUUGAGAUAUGCACUUUCUUUGUUUCUUUUUUCGAUUUGGAUAAGCAUGUUUGGAGCCAAGUACAGACAUUGAGGCCACCUGGUGUGCUUUUUGCAUUCCUGAUUGCAUGUCAAGAAAUGCUUGUUUUGGCUGGUGUGUGUAAUGGGCCACGAGAAGGCCAUCUUUCAAUUUGUGGAGGAUUGAUGAGAAAAGCAUGGAGUUCAGUGAAAUUGCUAUUAUGCCUCAGGAUUUGCUCUACGGGUUGGUUGAUAGCAAGGAGGAAGAUAAGUUUGCCAGCUUGAAAUGCGUUGGGAUGGGGAAUCUUAUUUAUGUGUAUAAUGAAGAGUAUCACAAGAUGUACCCUGCUUGCAUUUGUGAGAUCACUAACGAGUCUGGCAAGUGUAGCUGGAGGAGAGUGCCCCAAUUGCCAUCACCUGUUAAUAAGUUUCACAAGGUUAUCAGCUUUUGUUCCACAGUUUUACCACAUAAUAUUUUCCUGGGUGAAGGGGAAGAAAUUGGACUGGUGGAGCCUAUGUCUGACUGAUCAGCUUGUCUACUUGGUAAACCUAUAUUUUCUUAUGCUUAUUUCAUUGUGUUAGUCCAUCUAGUAUGUCCUUUAUUGCUACCCUUUAUUGUUUUAGGCAAAGUGUAUUGUUAUAAUCCUUGAAUUACUGCUUCUAUUGAAUGGCUUGUGGCAAUUAAAUCUGAUUUAGAGGUACCCUUUCUAAGAAUGCACACACAAUCUGCUUAGGUACAUGUUAAACCAUGUUCUUGAUGCAUCUUGAUCAAGGAUGAAUUUAGCUUCAUCUGUUAUCUCAUUUAUGCAAUAUCAAUACAGGAAUAUUGAAAUAUAGUGUAAUUAACUAAAGUCAGAAGUUUUGCUUUUGGAGAUAUGCAGGGUUGGGUUACAAAUUAUUAGCAGGAAAAUGCUUUCUUAGACUAGAUUUUGCAGUAGCUUCCUUCUUUUCCAUUAGUUUUUGGUGGAAAGACUUGACUGCUGACGAUCCUAGUUAAUGCAAACUAUUGAUCUUUGGUUUUGAUUUUAAUUUGUUGUGUCAUACAGCUUUCUUGGCUUUGUCUAUCAAUUCCACGGGUUUAAUAAUCUGCUGGCCUGCUGCCUGCUGAAGCAUUUCCGAAAAUUGUUCCAUCUUUUCAUAGCUUGAUAAUAUGGUGCUAUGUAACUAAGUUUUGCACAGGGAACUUCUUGUCUUUACCGUUCUACUGUAGAUCAAGUCACAAAUAUCUAGAUUAGUAUGUUUAAUAAGUUUACUGUAUAUUUUAUAUUUUCAAUUCAUAAUAGAUACGCAUGAAAAAUCUAUUUUGUUAUCAAAAUCUGCCUUUCUUCUUUGGGGGGAUUUUGAUUUAUCUCAUAAAAGCGCUUGUAGACUUUAGUUUUUGUUAGGUAUUAUGGUUCAAUAUGUUUUCUUUUAGGUAUUAUUUAAAUAUUUGAAAAACUAAUUUUAAAAAACUGCUUAAAUAUUUUCAAAUUUUUGUGAUUAAAAUAAAUUUAAUUUAAUUUAAAAUUAUUUUUUCAUUAAUAUAUUUAAAAUAAUAUUU
rnacentral:misc_RNA from 1 species